rnacentral:rRNA from 1 species
UACAGAGGUCUCAAGCGUUGUUCGGAUUCAUUGGGCGUAAAGGGUGCGUAGGCGGCGCGGUAAGUCGGGUGUGAAAUCUCGGAGCUUAACUCCGAAACUGCAUUCGAUACUGCCGUGCUUGAGGACUGGAGAGGAGACUGGAAUUUACGGUGUAGCGGUGAAAUGCGUAGAUAUCCGGAGGAACACCGGUGGCGAAGGCGGCUUCCUGGACCGACACUGACGCUGAGGCGCGAAAGCCAGGGGAGCAAACGGG